rnacentral:rRNA from 1 species
CCUACGGGGGGCAGCAGUGAGGAAUAUUGGUCAAUGGACGAGAGUCUGAACCAGCCAAGUAGCGUGAAGGAUGACUGCCCUAUGGGUUGUAAACUUCUUUUAUAUGGGAAUAAAAUGUUCCACGUGUGGGAUUUUGUAUGUACCAUAUGAAUAAGGAUCGGCUAACUCCGUGCCAGCAGCCGCGGUAAUACGGAGGAUCCGAGCGUUAUCCGGAUUUAUUGGGUUUAAAGGGAGCGUAGGUGGAUUGUUAAGUCAGUUGUGAAAGUUUGCGGCUCAACCGUAAAAUUGCAGUUGAAACUGGCAGUCUUGAGUACAGUAGAGGUGAGCGGAAUUCGUGGUGUAGCGGUGAAAUGCUUAGAUAUCACGAAGAACUCCGAUUGCGAAGGCAGUUCACUGGACUGCAACUGACACUGAGGCUCGAAAGUGUGGGUAUCAAACAGGAUUAGAUACCCCUGUAGUC